AUUUGAUUACAUUGUACUUCAAAAACAUUCUAAAAACAUCCAUCUCAAAUUCCUAAGUACACAAUCUACGAUGUAUCAAGAGUCGACGGCAUCAUCUCUACGAGUAGAUGAAGUAUCAGCAACCUACAAGAAAAAAAAUACUUUAGAAACUAAAAAUACGAAAGUCAUCACGCUAAUACAAGAAUACAUUAUAAUUAUAUAAAAUAUUCAAAUAUAUUUAGUUAUGUACCGGAGGAGCAAAUCUCUGCAAAAAAGAUGAAAUAUGGUCAAGCUGAUCCUGCAAAGAUUGUAUCUUCAACUCUUGGCUCUGCUUCAACUCCGCCAUAUCAGUCAUAUGACUCUGCCUCAUCUCCUCUAUCCUUGUCUCAUAUGACUGCUUUAUCUGUGCCAUCUCUGUCUUC
rnacentral:lncRNA from 1 species